AACAAACGCUGGCGGCGUGCCUAACACAUGCAAGUCGUACGAGAAAGUCGGCUUCGGCCGAUGAGUACAGUGGCGCACGGGUGAGUAGCGCGUGGGUAAUCUGCCCCCCGGUCAGGAAUAACCCGCCGAAAGGCGGGCUAAUACCCGAUAACACUGACGCUCCGCGGAGCGUCUUUCAAAGAAGGCCUCUGUUUACAAGCUUUCGCCGGAGGAUGAGCCCGCGUACCAUUAGCUAGUUGGCAGGGUAAUGGCCUACCAAGGCUACGAUGGUUAGCUGGUCUGAGAGGAUGGCCAGCCACACUGGAACUGAGACACGGUCCAGACUCCUACGGGAGGCAGCAGUGAGGAAUCUUGCGCAAUGGGGGAAACCCUGACGCAGCAACGCCGCGUGAGUGAGGAAGGCCUUGGGUCGUAAAGCUCUGUCAGAUGGGAAGAAAUGGAUGGGGGCGUAAUAUCGCCCGAUCCUUGACGGUACCAUCAGAGGAAGCACCGGCUAACUCCG
rnacentral:rRNA from 1 species